CCUACGGGUGGCAGCAGUGGGGAAUAUUGGGCAAUGGGCGCAAGCCUGACCCAGCAACGCCGCGUGAAGGAAGAAGGCUUUCGGGUUGUAAACUUCUUUUCUCAGGGACGAAGCAAGUGACGGUACCUGAGGAAUAAGCCACGGCUAACUACGUGCCAGCAGCCGCGGUAAUACGUAGGUGGCAAGCGUUAUCCGGAUUUACGGGGGGUAAAGGGCGUGUAGGCGGGACUGCAAGUCAGAUGUGAAAACCACGGGCUCAACGUGGGGCCUGCGUUUGAAACUGUAGUUCGUGAGUACUGGAGAGGCAGACGGGAUUCCGAGUGGAGCGGUGAAAUGCGUAGAUAUUAGGAGGAACACCAGUGGCGAAGGCGGUCUGCUGGACAGCAACUGACGCUGAGGCGCGAAAGCGUGGGGAGCAAACAGGAUUAGAUACCCGUGUAGUC
rnacentral:rRNA from 1 species